GUGGGGAAUUGUUCGCAAUGGGCGCAAGCCUGACGACGCAACGCCGCGUGGAGGAUGAAGGUCUUCGGAUUGUAAACUCCUGUUGAUCGGGACGAAAAGCCUCGGCCUAAUACGCCGGGGACUGACGGUACCGGUUGAGGAAGCCACGGCUAACUCUGUGCCAGCAGCCGCGGUAAUACAGAGGUGGCAAGCGUUGUUCGGAAUUACUGGGCGUAAAGGGCGCGUAGGCGGCCUUCUAAGUCGGACGUGAAAGCCCCAGGCUUAACCUGGGAACUGCGUCCGAUACUGGAAGGCUUGGAUUCGGGAGAGGGAUGUGGAAUUCCAGGUGUAGCGGUGAAAUGCGUAGAUAUCUGGAGGAACACCGGUGGCGAAGGCGGCAUCCUGGACCGAGAUCGACGCUGAGGCGCGAAAGCUAGGGGAGCAAACGGGAUUAGAAACCCCAGUAGUCC
rnacentral:rRNA from 1 species